UUCUGAAGAAAGUCACACAGCACUUUGACUAUUCCCAGGGAGCACUGCUUUGUCCUUGUAGUUAUGAAGCUAGCCAUUGUCUUUCUGCUCCUCUCCCUGGCAUGUGGCUCCAACUCUAUUUUUUUUGAUAUGUGUGAUCCUGUUCGCGAAUUUCUGCAAGCAAUGCUGAAUAGAUCAGAUGAAGAAUUUAAGGAGAUAGUUGAAAACUAUGGAAAUGACCAAGAUGGGGUAGAUGCCUCAAUGAAGUUUAAAAAGUGUGCAGAUAAACUGACAAGCGAGCUAAUUCUUGCUUACUUUGACGUGGCGAUAAAUAUAAUGGUCGCAUGCAAGAAAAGCUGGCAGUAGGACUGAUCUGUGGAUGCAUCCAAGCUGAUUCCACAGGCUGACUACUAGCAUCAGUUGCUGCAAAGCAACACUCAUUUAUCCAUUCUUCUACUUCUUCUGUACUGUCACUAUUCCGUCCUGAGACGUCUCUCUCCAUCUGGAUAGUAUUCAACAAAUACUAUUGAAAACCUAGAGAAAUCUCACCUGUUGUUCUUGAAUCAUUCAUAAUCAAUAAACACU